AGUAGCGNCNNNUGANCGGCAAAAGCUCAAAUUUGAAAUCUGGCUCUUUCAGAGUCCGAGUUGNNNNNNGNNGNNGGUAUCNNAGGGUCUGGCUCUUGUCUAUGUUUCUUGGAACAGAACGUCACAGAGGGUGAGAAUCCCGUGCGAUGAGAUGAUCCAGGCCUAUGUAAAGUUCCUUUGAAGAGUCGAGUUGUUUGGGAAUGCAGCUCUAAGUGGGUGGUAAAUUCCAUCUAAAGCUAAAUAUUGGCGAGAGACCGAUAGCGAACAAGUACAGUGAUGGAAAGAUGAAAAGAACUUUGAAAAGAGAGUGAAAAAGUACGUGAAAUUGUUGAAAGGGAAGGGCUUGAGAUCAGACUUGGUAUUUUGUAUGUUACUUCUUCGGGGGUGGCCUCUACAGUUUAUCGGGCCAGCAUCAGUUUGGGCGGUAGGAGAAUUGCGUUGGAAUGUGGCACGGCUUCGGUUGUGUGUUAUAGCCNNNNNCGAUACUGCCAGCCUAGACUGAGGACUGCGGUUNUACCUAGG
rnacentral:rRNA from 1 species